rnacentral:lncRNA from 1 species
GUUCAGAUGCCUUUAAUAAAGAAUCCAUUUCCUUACAAGAGUCUAAAUAGACCACACCGUUCUGUAUUAACCAGACAUACCUUAUGGCAAUAACAACAGUUGGAGAUUUGACCUGAAGAAUGCUUCAGUUUGAACUAUUUCUGCUCACGAAUAGAGAAGAUUGCAGCUCUCCGCUCUGCCUGCGCUUGGAAAGCCCAGACGCACCCGGUGCUUCGUUCACACCCACAUUUCACUCGGUUCCAUCCUGGCCCCCUCAGCUAACACCAUCCCAUCAGAAAACUGGACACCCAGAGUCACUUGCUGUUUUUCCGGGGCCUGCUUAUUUUCUAAUACCCCUCUCAUCUUUAAUAAUAGCACAGUUCAGUAUCCUCUCCGCCUGUGCCCAGGCAGCCCCCGUGUAAAACGGCUGUGAAGUUUAUUUUGUGCCCAUCAGUACAAUGCAAACCAGAGUGGGCUUACCUCCUCGGGGUUAGUGAACCCACGUUGUCUGUGAGCACAGACAGCACUUUGGCCCCAGAUGUGCCUGGUUAACUGUACAAGCAAAGAGGAUAAAUCCACAUAACAAUACUUCAUUCACCAAGGAAAUCUGCAGUGGAUUACAGCUUCUCUAUGGUUAAGUCUGGUCUUAAUUUACUGCUUUUAUUCAGUUUUCAACCACAAACGAGCCCCUUAUGAGGCAUUCACUAUGCAGAAUUGACAACUCUUUUUAUCUACUUGAAAAAUAUUUUUGGAUAAUAAUUUAUGGUUACAAAAUAUGUUAAGCAGUUUCAAUAGUUAUAUUAUAUUCUUUCAAUGCUUAAUGAUGCAGUAUCCCCUGUAAAAAUGGAAUGCCAGGAAAUCUGGUAAUUUUACAUACAGUAUUUAUAACAACAGAGCAAUUUGGCCAUAUAGAAACACAAAUUAAAAAAAAAUGCUGCAUAUUUCAUAGGAAGUCUUUUAAAGACAUUUUUUUAAGCUCUUAAAUUGUAUCUCGGGAGAAAAUCAGAGUUCAGAACAGUGUCUAAAGGUCCUAUAUAUGGGUGAAAAAAUAAUUUUGGCAAGCACUGUAUUUUAUUUAUGGAUUAUUAUGUUUAAUAUAGCAUAUUUUGAACACUCUUCAGAAGGAAAAAAAAGCUGCAGCUCUCUUUGAGGACAUGAGGGAGAGUUCAUAUGCUAUUUAUAUUUUAUACAUGAAACCAAAAUAUGUGGUAAGUUUGUACUUCUUUGCCAUCAAAAGUGUUCUCUUAAUUUAUAUUCUGAAUUAAUGCCAUCUUUUUAAAAAAUCCAUCUGAAGGUGUUCAUUAUUAUUGGGCAUAGAGUCCUUUUUCAAGCACUGAUUGCCAGUAACUGGAACUACUCUGGAAACCCCAAAUAGACUAAAAAGCAUCAUAUCCCUUUAAUAGUGGCAAGUGCCAGUAACAACGUUUGUCAUUUUAGUUGUACAGCUUCUAAUAUUGCCAGCCUAGUGACCCUAUAACCCCAAACGGAACCUAUGUAAGUAAAUAAGAAGGAAUGUAUUUUAU